UACGUAGGGGGCUAGCGUUGUCCGGAAUCAUUGGGCGUAAAGCGCGUGUAGGCGGUCCGGUAAGUCCGCUGUGAAAGUCGGGGGCUCAACCCUCGGAUGCCGGUGGAGUACUGUCGGGCUUGAGUACGGAAGAGGCGAGUGGAAUCCUGGUGUAGCGGUGAAAUGCGCAGAUAUCAGGAGGAACACCAAUUGCGAAGGCAGCUCGCUGGGACGUUACUGACGCUGAGACGCGAAAGCGUGGGGAGCAAACAGG
rnacentral:rRNA from 1 species